CUUUACUCAAGUACAAGACCUGAGUACUUCUACUUUACUCAAGUACAAGACCUGAGUACUUCUACUUUACUCAAGUACAAGACCUGAGUACUUCUACUUUACUCAAGUACAAGAUCUGAGUACUUCUACUUUAGGGGACAGUUGCAACAUUGCUGAUUUCUCCAAUCAGGAAUGAGAUAGUCAUGACACUCCUACUGCACAUGCUCAGUAGGCCCCUCCUUCUCUCUGGAAGGUAGCAGCCAGUCAUCGUGCCUUCUGGGAGAACUGGAAUUCAUGGAUGCCACGAGACAGGAAAAGGACAACCGAUAGGGGUGUCCCUCUACCUGUUCUGUCCUCAGCUGCUGGUGUAGUGGGCAAUGAAGACAGGACAGUGAGGUCUGUGGCAAAACAGUAUUCAAUUUGCCACACAACCCUCUACCACUUGAUUAAAAAGAGACAGAGGCUAGGUCCAGGAGAGAAGAGGACAGUUCUGCAGUUCCUCCAGUGCACGCUGGGGGUUCUGCCUCUUUUGCAGUUCCUCCAGCGCAAGAGUUCUCACCUGAGACUGUAAGACCUCACCCCAGAGCAGGACCACGGAAGAUGACAAAGGCAAACGGUAGGAAAAAUGCAAAUCGGCCAUCUUGACAGACACCCCCGAAAAGGAGGCUUUGGAGAAGGAGAAAGCAAAGGUUAAGAGGAAGCCAACAAAGGUUAUGAGAAAACUGACAAAGAACACACCGGAAACAAGCCAACAAACCCAGGUAGGCCUAAAGAAACCCAGAAGAAAAAGCAUACAGUGAAGGACAGUCGCUCUGAGGAAGAAGAAGGGUUCUACAUCGUCUGUUUGGAGAGCUACUCCAGACCAAGAGAGGUGUGGCUGCAAUGUCGGCAGUGCAAGACAUGGGCUCAUGAAGCCUGCACUGAUGGGAGGUGCAUUUACAUUUGCCCCAAUUGUGAGUCAGAUGGGGAAUUGUGAAUACUUGAUGCUUUACUUAAAAUAAUCAGUUUGUGUGCUUUUGGUGGUGGAAUGUGUUACUGCUUGUUACUUCAGUUGUAAACUUCAAUUUUUUUCAGAUGAAUAAAAAGUCCCGUAGCAA